CUACCUUUUGGAUGGGGAAUAACAACCGGAAACGGUUGCUAAUACCGCAUAAUGCAGCGGCACCUAAUGGUGACAGUUGUUAAAGCGGGGGAUCGUAAGACCUCGCGUCUGAAGAGGAGCCUGCGGCGGAUUAGCUAGUUGGUGAGGUAAUGGCUCACCAAGGCGAUGAUCCGUAGCCGGCCUGAGAGGGCGGUCGGCCACACUGACACUGACAUACGGGUCAG
rnacentral:rRNA from 1 species